GACGAACGCUGGCGGCGUGCUUAACACAUGCAAGUCGAACGGAAAGGCCCUGCUUUUGUGGGGUGCUCGAGUGGCGAACGGGUGAGUAACACGUGAGUAACCUGCCCUUGACUUUGGGAUAACUUCAGGAAACUGGGGCUAAUACCGGAUAGGAGCUCCUGCUGCAUGGUGGGGGUUGGAAAGUUUCGGCGGUUGGGGAUGGACUCGCGGCUUAUCAGCUUGUUGGUGGGGUAGUGGCUUACCAAGGCUUUGACGGGUAGCCGGCCUGAGAGGGUGACCGGCCAAAUUGGGAAUGAGAAACGGCCCAGACUCCUAAGGGAGGCAGCAGGGGGGAAUAUUGCAAAAUGGGCGGAAGGCUGAUGCAGCAACGCCGCGUGCGGGAUGACGGCCUUCGGGUUGGAAACCGCUUUCGCCUGUGACGAAGCGUGAGUGAAGGUAAUGGGUAAAGAAGCACCGGCUAACUACGUG
rnacentral:rRNA from 1 species